GUUGACCUCGGAUCAGGUAGGACUACCCGCUGAACUUAAGCAUAUCAAUAAGCGGAGGAAAAGAAACCAACAGGGAUUGCCCCAGUAACGGCGAGUGAAGCGGCAACAGCUCAGAUUUGGAAUCUGGCCCCCAGGGCCCGAGUUGUAAUCUGGAGAGGAUGCUUCUGGCGCGGCGCCUUCCGAGUUCCCUGGAACGGGACGCCGGAGAGGGUGAGAGCCCCGUACGGUCGGACGCCCAGCCUGUGUGAAGCUCCUUCGACGAGUCGAGUAGUUUGGGAAUGCUGCUCAAAAUGGGAGGUAAAUUUCUUCUAAAGCUAAAUAUUGGCCAGAGACCGAUAGCGCACAAGUAGAGUGAUCGAAAGAUGAAAAGCACUUUGAAAAGAGG
rnacentral:rRNA from 1 species